CACGUAGGCACCAAGCGUUGUCCGGAUUUAUUGGGCGUAAAGAGCUCGUAGGCGGUUCGGUAAGUCGGGUGUGAAAACUUUGGGCUCAACCCAAAGCCUGCACCCGAUACUGCUGUGACUUGAGUCCGGUAGGGGAGUGGGGAAUUCCUGGUGUAGCGGUGGAAUGCGCAGAUAUCAGGAGGAACACCGGUGGCGAAGGCGCCGCUCUGGGCCGGUACUGACGCUGAGGAGCGAAAGCGUGGGGAGCGAACAGG
rnacentral:rRNA from 1 species